rnacentral:rRNA from 1 species
UACGUAGGGGGCUAGCGUUGUCCGGAUUUAUUGGGCGUAAAGAGCGUGUAGGCGGCCAGAUAGGUCUGCUGUGAAAACUCGAGGCUCAACCUCGAGAUGUCGGCGGAAACCAUUUGGCUAGAGUCCGGAAGAGGAAAGUGGAAUUCCUGGUGUAGCGGUGAAAUGCGCAGAUAUCAGGAAGAACACCCGUGGCGAAGGCGGCUUUCUGGGACGGUACUGGCGCUGAGACGCGAAAGCGUGGGGAGCGAACAGG